GUAUUAAAGGUGCUGCCUGCCCAGUGAAACACUUUUUAACGGCCGCGGUAUCCUAACCGUGCAAAGGUAGCGUAAUCACUUGUCUUUUAAAUAAAGACUCGUAUGAAAGGCUAAAUGAAGACAAAACUGUCUCUUAUAAUUGACCAGUAAAACUGAUCUCCAAGUACAAAAGCUUGGAUAAACACAUAAGACGAGAAGGCCCUGUGGAGCUUAAAACCACACUAUUAUAAUAAAUAGCACAAGUUUUAAGUUGGGGCGACUUCGGAACAAAACAAAACUUCCGAGCACAGAGCCAACAGCUCUAAAAUAGACCAACAAGUCAAAGAACAAUAAUGACCCAGUCACACUGAACAACGAACCAAGUUACCCCAGGGAUAACAGCGCCAUCUUCUUCAAGAGUCCAUAUCGACAAGAAGGUUUACGACCUCGAUGUUGGAUCAGGACACCCAAAUGGUGCAGCAG
rnacentral:rRNA from 1 species